AUUGUUUCUUAUCCUUUUGGCUAAGAUCGAGUAUAGUAUCUGUUUUAUCAGUUUAAUAUCUAAUAUGUCCUCUAUCCCAGGACAUUAUAUGAAAUGAAUUUUUGGAGCUGGGAGAUGGAAUAGGAGCUUUACUUCGUCUACUUGCGCAUCAACCCAGUAUCGCUGUACUUCCUGAAACGGUGCACAAAAA